rnacentral:rRNA from 1 species
AUUGAACGCUGGCGGCAGGCCUAACACAUGCAAGUCGAGCGGAUGAAGGGAGCUUGCUCCUGGAUUCAGCGGCGGACGGGUGAGUAAUGCCUAGGAAUCUGCCUGGUAGUGGGGGAUAACGUCCGGAAACGGGCGCUAAUACCGCAUACGUCCUGAGGGCGAACGUGGGGGAUCUUCGGACCUCACGCUAUCAGAUGAUCCUAGGUCGGAUUAGCUAGUUGGUGGGGUAAAGGCCUACCAAGGCGACGAUCCGUAACUGGUCUGAGAGGAUGAUCAGUCACACUGGAACUGAGACACGGUCCAGACUCCUACGGGAGGCAGCAGUGGGGAAUAUUGGACAAUGGGCGAAAGCCUGAUCCAGCCAUGCCGCGUGUGUGAAGAAGGUCUUCGGAUUGUAAAGCACUUUAAGUUGGGAGGAAGGGCAGUAAGUUAAUACCUUGCUGUUUUGACGUUACCAACAGAAUAAGCACCGGCUAACUUCGUG